UCAUAACAACAGAUACUGAGGAAAUUAAAAAAAAAAAAAAAGCAGAUCCUACUACAAAAGCCUAUAGUUAACAAAACUGGAAAAUCUAGAUGAAAUGGAUGAUUUUCUAGACAGAUAUCAUGUACUAAAGUUAAAUUAGGAUCCGAUAAACUAUCUAAACAGUCCUAUAACCUCUAAAAAAAAAAAUAGAAGCAGUCAUUAAAAGUCUCCCAACCCCCCAAAAAAAAAACAAAAAAACAAAAAAAACAAAAAACAAAAAAACCUCAGGAAUUAUUGGUUUUAGUGCAGAUUUCUAUCAGAACUUCAAUGAAGACCCAAUACCCAUACUCCUCAAACUAUUGCAGAAAAUAGAAACAGAAGGUACCCUAGCUAGUUAAUUCUAUGAAGCCACAGUUACUUUGAUACCUAAACAACACAGAGACCC
rnacentral:lncRNA from 1 species